rnacentral:rRNA from 1 species
CCUACGGGGUGCUGCAGUGGGGAAUAUUGGGCAAUGGAGGCAACUCUUACCCAGCAAUGCCGCGUGAAUGAAGAAGGUCUUCGGAUUGUAAAGUUCCUUUUUUGGGGACGAAAAAAAUGACGGUACCCCACGGAUAAGUCUCGGCUAACUACGUGCCAGCAGCCGCGGUAAUACGUAGGGGGCAAGCGUUGUUCGGAAUGACUGGGCGUAAAGGGUGUGUAGGGGGUGUAGGUAAGUAGAAGGGGAAUUCCUAGGGCUCAACUGAGGUGUUGCAUCUAAAACUGGAAGCCUUGAGUGCAGUAGAGGAAGGCGGAAUUCCUGGUGUAGCGGUGGAAUGCUUAGAUAUGAGGAGGAACACCGAUGGCGAAGGCGACUUUCCGGAGUGCAACUGACGCUGAGGCACGAAAGUGGGGGUAUCAAACAGGAUUAGAUACCCCUGUAGUC